rnacentral:rRNA from 1 species
GGGGAAUAUUGCACAAUGGACGAAAGUCUGAUGCAGCGACGCCGCGUGAGGGAUGAAGGCCUUCGGGUUGUAAACCUUUUUCGCUUUUGACCAAGGCAGCAUUUUGGUGUUGUUGAGGGUAUGAGGUAAAGAAGCUCCGGCUAACUACGUGCCAGCAGCCGCGGUAAUACGUAGGGAGCGAGCGUUGUCCGGAUUUAUUGGGCGUAAAGGGCUUGUAGGUGGCUUGUCGCGUCUGCCGUGAAAUUCCGCAGCUUAACUGUGGUAGUGCGGUGGGUACGGGCAGGCUUGAGUGUGGUAGGGGAGACUGGAAUUCCUGGUGUAGCGGUGGAAUGCGCAGAUAUCAGGAGGAACACCGGUGGCGAAGGCGGGUCUCUGGGCCAUUACUGACGCUGAGGAGCGAAAGCGUGGGGAGCGAAC